CCUACGGGGGGCAGCAGUGGGGAAUUUUGGACAAUGGGCGCAAGCCUGAUCCAGCCAUGCCGCGUGUGGGAAGAAGGCCUUCGGGUUGUAAACCACUUUUGUCAGGGAAGAAACGGUCCGAUCUAAUACAUUGGAUUAAUGACGGUACCUGAAGAAUAAGCACCGGCUAACUACGUGCCAGCAGCCGCGGUAAUACGUAGGGUGCAAGCGUUAAUCGGAAUUACUGGGCGUAAAGCGUGCGCAGGCGGCUUUGCAAGACAGAUGUGAAAUCCCCGGGCUCAACCUGGGAACUGCAUUUGUGACUGCAUGGCUAGAGUACGGUAGAGGGGGAUGGAAUUCCGCGUGUAGCAGUGAAAUGCGUAGAUAUGCGGAGGAACACCGAUGGCGAAGGCAAUCCCCUGGACCUGUACUGACGCUCAUGCACGAAAGCGUGGGGAGCAAACAGGAUUAGAUACCCCAGUAGUC
rnacentral:rRNA from 1 species